rnacentral:rRNA from 1 species
CACACCGCCCGUCACACCAUGGGAGUGGGUUUCACCAGAAGCAGGUAGUCUAACCGUAAGGAGACAGUGGCCGAAGGUAUGGCUGGUGAUUGGGAUG